rnacentral:rRNA from 1 species
GAUGAACGCUGGCGGCGUGCUUAACACAUGCAAGUCGAACGGAAAGGCUCCUGCUUGCAGGGGUACUCGAGUGGCGAACGGGUGAGUAACACGUGGGUGAUCUGCCCUGCACUUCGGGAUAAGCCUGGGAAACUGGGUCUAAUACCGGAUAGGACCACAUUUUGGAUGGUGUGGUGGAAAGUUUUUCGGUGUGGGAUGAGCUCGCGGCCUAUCAGCUUGUUGGUGGGGUAAUGGCCUACCAAGGCGUCGACGGGUAGCCGGCCUGAGAGGGUGUACGGCCACAUUGGGACUGAGAUACGGCCCAGACUCCUACGGGAGGCAGCAGUGGGGAAUAUUGCACAAUGGGCGCAAGCCUGAUGCAGCGACGCCGCGUGGGGGAUGACGGCCUUCGGGUUGUAAACUCCUUUCGCUAGGGACGAAGCGCAAGUGACGGUACCUGGAGAAGAAACACCGGCUAACUACGUG